UUAGUAUACUACACUAAGAUUUGGACAUUUGAAAUUAGUUAAUUUUAAUAUUUAUUUUAGCAUUCAUCAGACAAGCGCAAAAGGCACCAUAGCGCCAUCGUGUGUUAGUUUACUAAUAUAAGCAAAGGAAUUUCCCAGAAACCAUCGCGCUGGAACAGUAUAAAAUGCAAAGCGACGCAUUCAUUCGGUCUCAUUCUUCCGCGGCGCUUCCUGGAGAAGGCCCAGUUUCUUCAAGACUUUAAUAAAGGCGGGAGACGGCAGGAAUCGUGUAUCUGAAGCAGUUCUGCAUUGUCCAAGGAACAUGUGCUAUGCAGUUGAAUCUAAAGGCUUCUCAAGAAGCUGGAACGAGAUGUAUGAAGAUGCUGUCAGCUGAGCAUGGUACUAUUACUGGACCACAGGAAUCGUGUAUUUGAAGCAGUCCUGCAUUGUCCAAGGAACAUGUGCUAUGCAGUUGAAUCUAAAGGUUUCUCAAGAAACUGGGACAAGAUGUAUGAAGAUGCUGUCAGCUGAGCAUGCAUGAGAACUGUAUGGACUCAGUCCUAUCUGAUCUUCUCUGACUGGCUACGGGUAAAUCGGCUGUCUGAAUGACUUGCUGGGACAGAUGACCAGUGUAACAUGCUGAAAUGGCGCCCAUGAGUGUACAGCAGUGAAGGCUUUGUAGUAUGUGUGGGGUUUGGAUACAAUGUUUUUACAGGAGUUCAAGAAAAUUCAGGAUGGCUCUGAAAAUUAUGGUAUCACAAGAAUGGCAUCGCCUGCAUCAGUUCUUCUAAAUUGUUCCUGAACUCCCCCCUUUCUGAUUGGAGGUCAUUUGUCCCUUUUUGAAGUGAUUAAAUCUUUCAGAUGUUGACUUUCUUUGUAAACUGUUGCUUCAAUAAAGUGGUAUUAAAAAUGAAA